rnacentral:rRNA from 1 species
UACGUAGGGUGCAAGCGUUAAUCGGAAUUACUGGGCGUAAAGCGUGCGCAGGCGGUGAUGUAAGACAGAUGUGAAAUCCCCAGGCUUAACCUGGGAACUGCGUGUGAUACUGGAUGGCUUGAAUCCGGGAGAGGGAUGCAGAAUUCCAGGUGUAGCGGUGAAAUGCGUAGAUAUCUGGAGGAAUACCGGUGGCGAAGGCGGCAUCCUGGACCGGCAUUGACGCUGAUGAGCGAAAGCUAGGGGAGCAAACGGG